AAAAAAUAUGAAACAUAUAUGCGGAAUAAUACCGUUUGUGGCGUCAAUUUUAAGUUCUUUAAGUGUGGAAUGUCUAUUAUUGGACGGUCCAGGUGUUUGCAUCAGACAACAAAUGUCAAAAAUGACAAAUACAGUGCAAAAUGAGACAUUUUUCUGCUGUGGUGGUUAUAAAGAAGUAAAUGACACCUGUGUUGAUUGUCCUGAGUGUUCAUCUAUGAGGUGCCCGCAGAAUUUUUGUGGUGAUACAUGUAUAGAGAUGUGUGAUUGUCCCGAAAAUGCAUACUGUGAUAGCCUUUAUUGCUGUGUUUGUAAACCUGGUUUCAUUGGAUUUUUCUGUAAUAAAACAUGUUUUACUGGAUCUUAUGGUCCUGGAUGUAGAAAAAAAAUGCAUCUGCCAAAGCCAGCAGAUGUGUGACCCGGUAACAGGUAGCUGUACCCCGAACAGUAGAGCAUGUGAAGAUGGAUAUUAUGGACAAGAAUGUAGCAACAAAUGUAUGUGUCAGAGGGAGCAGCAGUGUGAUCAAGUCACAGGCAACUGUACUUCAAAUGUGUACAAACCUGGAAACCAACCUCAAAAGACAGAAGUAUUCAAAUUAAUCGUAAUUACUGUAAUACUAGUGGCCAUCGUGAUUAUAAUUUCAGCAUGAAUAUCAGUAGUAAUAACUAUUUUGAGGAAUUGCAAAGAGAAAUACAGAACAACAGAACCAGUGGGCUACUUUGGUGAAAUAAAUCCUCAUGAUGAAAUUAGUCUUGAAGAGUUUGAAACACAGCAAGAACCGUUAUAUUCCACGCCAUCAUAUGCUAACGGUGUUAUGCGCCCGCGACAAUCAACAGAGCGCAAUGGCAUAAUGGAGACAACGAAUAUCACUGAUGCUCAUGCGAGAUCUCAUCCAGAUAGAGGUUGUAAAAUCCACAAGUAUAGGUCCUUGCCAAUCCUUAGCAGCAUGCACAGAUCACUUGAACAAGAUAACAAGCUGAAAAGGUUCAACACAAGUAGUUGUGAUCAAUUAACACGGCAAACUCUCUAUAUAACUGAAAGUGAUUACCUUAAUCCUUAUUGUAGUUUACUACGAUCAGAAGUUAGUGGGAGUGAUUAUCUUAAUCCAUAUACUACACUUCUAACGACAACCGACGAAGGAAAUAUCUAUGAAAAUUAAAGAAAAGGAGCCGGUAGACUAGCUAUUAUAUAACCUAGUCUGUUUAUAGCAUUUACGAAAAUGAAAGUCAGCAAAUCAUCAAUUCAUCAAAAAUAUCUAUCUAUCAUAUUAUAAAUCUUAAAAAUAUUGCCUACAAAAAACGAUUAAGAAUGGGAA